ACGAAGACAUAAGUUGGAUGAAGCUGGAAAAAAGUAGUUAUUGCAGCUUCUCCCCUAUUUCUCUCUCUCAACUAUGCAUGAAGUAGUUGGUGAAGCUAUUUUGCCAAACACUUUCUCCAAAACAGCUCAGCUUUAUCUAGAAAGUCACUCAUGAAGUUAUUUUCUAAAAAAACAGCUUUACUAGUGAAGUUGAGUUGUGCCAAACAAACCCGUAUUAUUCACUUGUUCACAUGGGCUCUCUUUCUCUUAUAGAACCGGUGAAGCUAGUUUUUUUAGUUUCACCUCGCUCUGUGAGAGAAGAAGAGGAGAAAAUAAAAGAUCAUUACAUGUGUUUGAAGCUUAAACCGGUUAUAACUUUACCAAAGGAGGCCUUAAAAGUUAUUUGGAAGCACUCAAGCAGUCAAGAAAAAGCUUUGGCCAUCCUCACUGCAGUGGAAGGAGAAGACAAGCUUGGGCUAUUGCACCCAGCUGGAGAAGAAGCGACCUCGGACUGGAUCUCGAUUCUCGACUGCCGGUCAUCCUUGGCACGGACGGCAAGUUUUCCUUACAGAUGAUAUAUCAUGUCCAUACGACUAAUCAAGUUUUUUGAUAGACUAUACUAAACUUUAGUACAUGUUUUGGAUACCAAAUAGAAAGUCUAAACGUAAACUAAUCAUUGUCUACAAAAACUAAUAAAGGCUAAUGGAUGAGUAGAACACAUUAGAAAAAAAGAUUUUAAUUAGGCCCUGUUUAGUUCCCCACCAAAAAUUUUUUCAUCCAUCCCAUCGAAUUUUUGGACACAUGCAUGGAACAUUAAAUCUCUACAACUAAAAAUUAUGGAAAGGACCCAUCUACCACACCCAUGGUGAAGCCACAACUCCCAUCCCUUUUAGCCAUGAUAGGCUAUCCCAUCAACCUAGGCCCCACUCACCCAUGCAUGCAAAAUUGUUUCAACGAAUUUAAAAUGUCAUAAGUUUUAAACCAAAGAUAUAAAUUAAAUUCUGAUUGCACCAUUAAAUUUCUCAUAACAAAUCAUUCAAAACAAAAUCACACAUGGAUAUAUUUAGAUAAAAUUUUAUUAAUUAAUAUUUAUCUCUACAACUAAAAAUUAUGGAGAGGACCUAUCUACAACUUUCAUCCCUUUGGUGGUCUUUUUUACUGCACGAUGACACGCUAUCCCAUCAACCUAGGCCCCACUCACCUAUGCAUGUAAAAUUGUUUUAGCGAAUUAAAAAAAGUCAUAACUCCUAAACUAGAUUCUGAUUGCACCAUUAAAUUUCUUAUAACAAAUCCUUCAAAACAAGAACACACAUGGAUAUAUUUAGAUAAAAUUUUAUUAAUGAAUAUUUAUCUUAUAAAGAUAAACUAUUUUCUUUUAUUAAGUAGAAACAAUAUUCUAGGUUCAACAAACAAUGUUCUGUCUUUGUAAAAAAAUGUUAUCGAUCUAGAAGAAUAGUAUUUUGGUUUUAGAUUUAUGAAACUGAUAUUACAAUAUACAUAAAAAUACAUAAAUACAUGACAUAGAUAGAAAUAAUAAAAAAAUCUAGAGUAAAAAGCAUAAGAAAAAAAAAUAAAAAAUACAAAAUGGAGAAAAAUUUCAAAUAAUGUCAAAGGGUUACUUUUUAAAUAUCGUAAAUAUAUUUAUAGAACAUUAACAUCACUAAAUACAUUAUAGAACAUCAUUAAAUAUAUUAUAGAACAUCACAUCUAUUAUAGAUUACAUGUAUACUAAGUGAACACCGUAAGAAACAUCAUAGAACAUCACAUAUAUAUUACGUAAACAUGACAUAACACAAUAUAGAACACUAAAUAUAUAGUACAUAAAUAUCACAUAUAUAUAGAAAAUAAAAAUAAAAAAAUAAAAUUACUAAGAAAAAAAAUAUAAAAACAAACAUAAUUAACAAAUGAUAAAAAGUGCAUAGAGCAAAUAAAUUAAUGAAUAAUUUAAAUAAGGAUAAAAAUAAGAUUAAAAGGAAAUAAAAUAUAAAAUAAGAAUGAAGAAACAUAGAAAAUCUGAAAAGAAAAAAGAAAAACAAAUAGAAGCAAGGAAGAACAAUAAAAAUAAAACCAAAAGAAAAAAAAAAUAAAAGGUAAAAUUAAAACAAGAAAAGAAUAAGUAAAGGACAGAAAAUAAAAUAAAAUCGUAAAACAAAAACUAAAAAGAAAUGAAAAAGGAAGAAUAUAGACAGAAAAAAUAAAACAACAAUGAAGAAAUAUAGAGUAUGUAAAUUUUAAAACCCGUAACAACGUACAGGCAUUAACCUAGUGUACAUAAAAAAAAUAAACUAAUUACACAGUUCGGUUGAAAAUCACGAGACGAAUCUUUUAAGCCUAGUUACUCCAUGAUUAGCCUUAAGUGCUACAGUAACUCAUAUGUGUUAAUGACAGAUUAAUUAUGCUUAAUAGAUUUGUCUUGCAGUUUCCUGACGAGUUAUGUAAUUUAUUUUUUUAUUAGUUUCUAAAAAUUUCUCCCGACAUCCUUCCGACAUAUCCGAUGUGACACCCAAAAAUUUUUUAUCUCCAAUCUAAACAGGGCCUUAGCCUAUGUUUAUCCUGUUAUUCAAUGACGGACUAAACUUUACUCCAGUGAUCCAAACAGUCCCUGGCUAGUCAUUUCUCUACAACUAAAAGAUAUGAAGAGAACCCAUCUACCACAUCCAUGGUGAAGCCACAACUCCCUUUUUACUAUAUCAUGAUAGGCUAUCCCAUCAACCCAAGCCCCACUCAGCUAUGCAUGCAAAAUUGUUUUAGUGAAUUAAAAAAAGUCAUAACUUUUAAACCGAAGAUAUAAAUUAAAUUUUGAUUACACCAUUAAAUUUCUUAUAACAAAUCCUUUAAAACAAGAUCACACAUGGAUAUAUUUAGGUAAAAUUUUAUUAAUAAAUAUUUAUCUUUACAACUAAAAAUUAUGGAGAGGAUCCGUGCACAACUCUUAUCCCUUUGGUGGUCUUUUUUACUGUGCGAUGACACGCUAUCUUAUCAACCUAGGCCCCACUCACCUAUGCAUGCAAAAUUGUUUUAACGAAUUAAAAAAAGUCAUAACUCAUAAACCAAAGAUAUAAAUUAAAUUCUGAUUGCACCAUUAAAUUUCUUAUAAACAAUCCUUCAAAACAAGAUCACACAUGGAUAUAUUUAGAUAAAAUUUUAUUAAUGAAUAUUUAUCUUAUAAAGAUAAAAUAUUUUCUUUUACUAAGUAGAGACAAUAUUCUAGGUUCAACCGACAAUGUUCUGUCUUUGUAAAAAAAUGUUAUGGAUUUUGAAUAAUAGUAUUUUGGUUGUAGGUUUACGAAACUGAUAUUACAAUAUACAUAAAAAUACAUAAAUACAUGAUAUAGAUAAAAAUAAUAAUAAAAUCUAGAGUAAAAAGCAUAAAAAAAAUAAAAACACAAAAUGGAGAAAAUUUUCAAAUAAUGUCAAAGGGUUACUUUUCAAAUAUCGUAAAUAUAUUUAUAGAACAUUAACAUCACUAAAUACAUCAUAGAACAUCAUUAAAUAUAUUAUAGAACAUUACAUCUAUUAUAGAUUACAUGUAUACUAAGUGAACAUCAUAAGAAACAUCAUAAAAUAUCACAUAUAUACUACGUAAACAUGACAUUACACAACAU
rnacentral:lncRNA from 1 species